CAAUAGCGUAUAUUAAAGUUGUUGCAGUUAAAAAGCUCGUAGUUGGACUUCUGCGGGUGGCGGCCGGUCGUGCCCUUUUGUGGCGUGAACUUGGCUCUUUGCCGCCCGCAUCUUUGGGGAGAUUGUGCGUGGCGUUAGGUUGUCGUGCAUGGGAUUCUCAUCAUUUACUGUGAAAAAAUUAGAGUGUUUAAAGCAGGCCUUUGCCUUGAAUACAUUAGCAUGGAAUAAUAAGAUAGGACCGUUGUCUAUUUUGUUGGUUUACAGAUGUCGGUAAUGAUUAAUAGGGAUAGUUGGGGGUAUUCGUAUUCAGUUGUCAGAGGUGAAAUUCUUGGAUUUUCGGAAGACGCACGACUGCGAAAGCAUUUACCAAGGAUGUUUUCAUUAA
rnacentral:rRNA from 1 species